UACGGAGGGAGCUAGCGUUGUUCGGAAUUACUGGGCGUAAAGCGCACGUAGGCGGCUUUGUAAGUUAGAGGUGAAAGCCCGGGGCUCAACUCCGGAACUGCCUUUAAGACUGCAUCGCUUGAAUCCAGGAGAGGUGAGUGGAAUUCCGAGUGUAGAGGUGAAAUUCGUAGAUAUCAGGAGGAACACCAGUGGCGAAGGCGGCUUUCUGGACGGUAACUGACGCUGAGACGCGAAAGCGUGGGGAGCAAACAGG
rnacentral:rRNA from 1 species